AGGUUUGUCAGCUUCGGCCUGACUUCCUGAAUGUGUGAGAAUCAUGGAAAGAACAACAUCAAGAGAAAUGAGACAUACCCAUGGAGUCACAGGCAGGCAUGAUACAAUCUUCCCUCUGAAAUAACACCAGCUAUUUUCAGCUUGUUUUUUUUCUUUUUUCAGUACGAAUCCUUUCCACUCAGUGAUGACCCAAAACCAGCGUCACUUAUUGGAACACAAGCACAGCACAGAGACACUGUUACCAAUGUGCGCAAUUAUUAUAUACAGAACAAAUCUACUUCCUGUCUCACCUUGUCAGUUGGGCACAUCUGGAAAUGUUUUAAUUUCAUUCUCGUGGCUUGACACGGGUCAGCACGUUGACGACAAGUCAGCGGGAACUGCAGAGUGAAGUUUUGUAAAACUGCUCUGGGUCAGUCUGCGUUCUCAGUAAAAGGGACACAGUUAUGGAACUCUUUGCCACUGGAGCUAAAGUCCCAAAUGGACCUGAGACUUUUCUCACAAAAGCUGAAGCUGUGGCUAAAGAACAAACAAAAGUGUGAGCACUGAACAGUUUGGCUGGACUUGGGAUGGGAAGUGGUCAGAUAUGUCUUCUCUUAUUUCUUUUAUUGUUGUAUUGUUUGAUGCCUUUUACUGAUUUUUCAUCUUUCUGUUCUGUUUUAAACCCCUUUGAAAAGCCUAACCAGGGACGGGGGCUGCAAAUUAGCUAUGGCUAGACGCCUUAUGUACAUAACAUCGGCCACUGAGCUGGCAAUGUUUUCUUGUACUGUCCCUGUCAAAUAAACAAAUAAAUAAAUAAAAUAAAAAAAACGUUUUUUGUUGUUGUCGCUCUUCUAUGGCUUUUUUGUUGCUUUUUUAUCACUUUUCAUCGCUUUUCCCCCGUUGCUUUUUUGAUGCUUUUUCGUCACGUUUUGUCACUUUUUUGUUGUGUUUUUGUCUCUUUUUUUAAAAAUUGUGUUAUUAUAGCUUCCCGGUACGUUUGCGGCUUUUUCAUCACUUUUUAGUCAUGUUUUACCAAGAUGCUUUUAGACUUGCGUAUAAUGCCAAACUGGAGAAAAUGUGCUGUAGUGAGGCCGACAAACACACAGAAACAAACACUUAACAAAACUGUUUCUCAACGGCAUUUUUGAGCAAGUUUUAAAGAAGCCGUUCAUAUCCCACCCCUCGUCUGACAAUAAUGGUGCCUCCAGACCACCCACGUUUGCCAUUCAGAGCAGACGCUGAUCCAGCAGCAAAUCCAAAUGUAAAUCACACACACUUAUUUGAAUCCUCAAUGACACGUUACUAAUUCAAUCAUCACAGUCCGACCCCUUGAUCACAGCUGUCACGCAUAAGUCCACAACACCCCCCAAACCAAAACCAAACAAACCUCUGAACC
rnacentral:lncRNA from 1 species